ACAUUUGUUCCGGACCUGGAAUGCCUUCCGGACCUGGGAUCCUGCCUUCUGAUGGAGAUAAUCAAAGUAACUCACCCACGACGGCGUACCCUCCUGGCACUAUGGGGUAGAUGGUGCCAUCAGAGUGGAUGCCAUCAGGGAACCAGGCGGCCAUGCUCUCCCCGACCAGACGGCCAAACGCUGCCCCUAGAACACACACACACACACACACACACAAACACACACACACACACACACACACACACACAGUUAAUGAGCGCGUAACAUACUGUUACACAGACACUCACAAGACUGCAUAUCAUAGCAUGUUCCCAGGGUUAACAUUAUUGCUGAAACACACACACACACUUCUCUUACCAAUGACGAAGACGGGCAUGAAGGCUCCACAUGGCACAGGAAUGGUGGUGGCCAGAGCAGACAUCCAAAACUGAGACAGACACACAGAUACAAAGUCACAGAGGGAACAGUGUGGCAUUUCAGACAGCCAACAGGACAAUCCUCCAUUUAACUCAGCUGCUCUGACUUCUGAUCAGUACUGUCUUUUAUUCUGCACUAUAAAAGAAAAUACUCCAUUGUGAUAGACUCAUCUCUUCCCAGGCGUGAACUAGCUAACGUCGGUCCCCAUCUGGGUGAGAUUGAACUGUCACACACCGCCUUCAUUUGAUGAAAACCCUGAAAUGAACUGAACUCUGGAUAAUGAGCGAGCUGAUUGGAAGAUGCGGCUAAUUAGAGACAAACAAAAGGACAUUUCAGUAGUGAUAAGCUUGGGCCAUCUUCUUGAACUGCACUGUUGGUUAAGGGCUUGUAAGUAAGCAUUUCACAGUAAAGUCUACACUUGUUUUAUUCGGCGCAUGUGGCAAAUACAGUUUUAUUUUAUUUACCGUAUACUGGGAUAUUUGGAAAAAUCCACGGGAUGGUUUCUGAAUACCGUCUAUUUAUUUUGAAGUUUGUUGUGGAAAUUCACCACUAAGGACUCAGACUCAAUAUAACAUUUUCCCUCAAGUUUUUAAAUAGAUUUUAAUAUUUGUAGCUACUUGUGCAAUACAUUAGGAGAUAAAGAAAAUUGCGUUCUUCAUUUCA